CUGGGCGUAAAGCGAGCGUAGGUGGCUCGAUAAGUCAGAUGUGAAAGCCCCGGGCUUAACCUGGGAACGGCAUCUGAUACUGUUAGGCUAGAGUAGGUGAGAGGAAGGUAGAAUUCCAGGUGUAGCGGUGAAAUGCGUAGAGAUCUGGAGGAAUACCGAUGGCGAAGGCAGCCUUCUGGCAUCAUACUGACACUGAGGUUCGAAAGCGUGGGUAGCAAACAGGAUUAGAUACCCUGGUAGUCCACGCCGUAAACGAUGUCUACUAGUCGUUGGGUCCCUUGAGGACUUAGUGACGCAGCUAACGCAAUAAGUAGACCGCCUGGGGAGUACGGCCGCAAGGUUAAAACUCAAAUGAAUUGACGGGGGCCCGCACAAGCGGUGGAGCAUGUGGUUUAAUUCGAUGCAACGCGAAGAACCUUACCUGGUCUUGACAUAUCUAGAAUCCUGCAGAGAUGCGGGAGUGCCUUCGGGAAUUAGAAUACAGGUGCUGCAUGGCUGUCGUCAGCUCGUGUCGUGAGAUGUUGGGUUAAGUCCCGCAACGAGCGCAACCCUUGUCCUUAGUUACCAGCGGUUUGGCCGGGAACUCUAAGGAUACUGCCAGUGACAAACUGGAGGAAGGCGGGGACGACGUCAAGUCAUCAUGGCCCUUACGACCAGGGCUACACACGUGCUACAAUGGUAGGUACAGAGGGCAGCUACACAGCGAUGUGAUGCGAAUCUCAAAAAGCCUAUCGUAGUCCAGAUUGGAGUCUGCAACUCGACUCCAUGAAGUAGGAAUCGCUAGUA
rnacentral:rRNA from 1 species